GAAUUAGAAAGUUCUCGUUCUUCGUUCGAUAGUGAUGUGCUCGACGUAUGAAUAAAGAUUUUACUUUAAGAAGAUAAUAGAAAAGAUUAUCUUAGAGAAGGAAAUAUAUAGAGAAGUAGCAGCUGGUCGUAGCUAGUGGAUAGCUAGUGAUAUACUAUGUAUACGUGGAAUAUAUAUUUGGAUACGUGCUUACGUUGGAUACCUCUUACGUACUAUUUCUGUGGAUUGUGUGAGUGGUCAUCGUACUGUGAGUGAGGUGGUGCC